rnacentral:rRNA from 1 species
UACGUAGGUGACAAGCGUUGUCCGGAUUUACUGGGCGUAAAGAGCGCGCAGGCGGUCGAUCAAGUCGAGUGUGAAAGCCCCCGGCUCAACUGGGGAGGGUCAUUCGAUACUGAUCGACUCGAAGGCAGGAGAGGGUAGUGGAAUUCCCGGUGUAGUGGUGAAAUUCGUAGAUAUUCGGAGGAACACCAGUGGCGAAGGCGGCUCACUGGUCCGGUACUGACGCUGAGGUGCGAAAGCGUGGGGAGCAAACAGG